CAGUAGGGAACGAAGGUUAAUAGCAUCACGUCUUGUGGUGAUGCCUUCGUGACCAACAUCCGGAUUG
rnacentral:sRNA from 1 species